CUGCUUUAUGUAUAAACGAUUCUCUUUCUUAAUUGAUAAUAGUUUCUCUUCUUAGGCAUGAGAUGCCUAUGUCAUGAUGCAAGACCUGUACUUUCCAGGAAUUUCAUCAAGCUAACUAAAGAGAGGAAAUACAAAGUCUGUUUAUACUAAAGUUUUUGAUGUACUAUUCAGCUGCCAUAUUCAUAAUAGCAGUGGGAACAUAAAGAACAACAAUCUAAAGGAAGACAAAUCCUAUGUUUAAUGCAUCAUUACAAAGGCAGGGAAGAAUCAGAGAAGAUGAUGAGAAUUUGCUGGGGAAAUUCUCCUUGAGAUGAUCUUGGAUAUCCAGCUGAUUCUGAAGAAUAGGUAUGCAAUGGAACUGCAUAAUGCUACCUCUUAGAUGGACCUAAGGAUUAUGGGAACACA
rnacentral:lncRNA from 1 species